UACGUAGGGGGCAAGCGUUGUCCGGAUUUACUGGGCGUAAAGCGCGUGUAGGCAGCCACGCAGGUCCGUUGUGAAAACUCGAGGCUCAACCUCGAGAUGUCGGCGGAAACCACUUGGCUAGAGUCCGGAAGAGGAGAGUGGAGUUCCCGGUGUAGCGGUGAAAUGCGCAGAUAUCGGGAAGAACACCUAUGGCGAAGGCAGCUCUCUGGGACGGUACUGACGCUGAGACGCGAAAGCGUGGGGAGCGAACAGG
rnacentral:rRNA from 1 species